rnacentral:tRNA from 1 species
GCCGAGGUAGCUCAGCUGGUUAGAGCGCGUGAUUCAUAAUCACGAGGUCGCGUGUUCAAGUCACGCUCUCGGUA